AACGAACGCUGGCGGCAGGCCUAACACAUGCAAGUCGAGCGAACCCUUCGGGGUUAGCGGCGGACGGGUUAGUAACGCGUGGGAAUAUACCCUUUGGUACGGAAUAGCCUCGGGAAACUGAGAGUAAUACCGUAUGUGCCCUUCGGGGAAAGAUUUAUCGCCAAAGGAUUAGCCCGCGUUGGAUUAGAUAGUUGGUGGGGUAAUGGCCUACCAAGUCUACGAUCCAUAGCUGGUUUGAGAGGAUGAUCAGCAACACUGGGACUGAGACACGGCCCAGACUCCUACGGGAGGCAGCAGUGGGGAAUCUUAGACAAUGGGCGCAAGCCUGAUCUAGCCAUGCCGCGUGGACGAUGAAGGCCUUAGGGUUGUAAAGUCCUUUCAGAUGGGAAGAUAAUAGAGGUACCAUCAGAAG
rnacentral:rRNA from 1 species